rnacentral:rRNA from 1 species
UACGUAGGGUGCGAGCGUUGUCCGGAAUUAUUGGGCGUAAAGGGCUCGUAGGCGGUCUGUCGCGUCUGCUGUGAAAACUCGGGGCUUAACCCUGAGCUUGCAGUGGGUACGGGCAGACUAGAGUGCGGUAGGGGAGACUGGAAUUCCUGGUGUAGCGGUGAAAUGCGCAGAUAUCAGGAGGAACACCGGUGGCGAAGGCGGGUCUCUGGGCCGUAACUGACGCUGAGGAGCGAAAGCAUGGGGAGCGAACAGG